GACGAACGCUGGCGGCGCGCUUAACACAUGCAAGUCGAACGGAAAGGCCUGCUUUCCCUUGUGGAUUGCGGGUACUCGAGUGGCGAACGGGUGAGUAACACGUGAGUGAUCUGCCCCCAACUUGGGUAUAAGCCUGGGAAACUGGGUCUAAUUCCCGAUAGGACUGCAGGGUGGUGCCUGUGGUGGAAAACGAUUUUCUAGUGGUUGGGGAUGAGCUCGCGGCCUAUCAGCUUGUUGGUGGGGUAAUGGCCUACCAAGACGGCGACGGGUAGCCGGCCUGAGAGGGUGGACGGCCACAUUGGGACUGGGAUACGGCCCAGACUCCUACGGGAGGCAGCAGUGGGGAAUAUUACACAAUGGGCGGAAGCCUGAUGCAGCGACGCCGCGUGGGGGAUGACGGCCUUCGGGUUGUAAACUCCUUUCGACCGCGAGGAAGCCACCUGGUUGGAAGGGUGGUGACGGUAGUGGUAGAAGAAGCACCGGCUAACUACGUG
rnacentral:rRNA from 1 species